rnacentral:tRNA from 1 species
GGGGCCAUAGCUCAGUGGUAGAGCAUCUUCUUUGCAUGUAGAAGGUUCAAUCUCUGGCAUCU